AAAGGAAUAGACGGGGACCCGCACAAGCAGCGGAGCAUGUGGUUUAAUUCGAAGCAACGCGAAGAACCUUACCAGGUCUUGACAUACCAUAGAACAAGCCUUAACCGGCGCGGUUCACUUCUAUGAAGUGACUGUGGAUACAGGUGGUGCAUGGUUGUCGUCAGCUCGUGUCGUGAGAUGUUGGGUUAAGUCCCGCAACGAGCGCAACCCUUGCAUUUAGUUGCCAUCAGGUAAAGCUGGGCACUCUAGAUGGACUGCCGUGGAUAACACGGAGGAAGGUGGGGAUGACGUCAAAUCAUCAUGCCCCUUAUGAUCUGGGCUACACACGUGCUACAAUGGACGGUACAACGGGGAGCGAAGCAGUGAUGUGGAGCAAAUCCUAAUAAGCCGUUCUUAGUUCGGAUUGUAGGCUGCAACUCGCCUACAUGAAGUCGGAGUUGCUAGUAAUCGCGGAUCAGAAUGUCGCGGUGAAUGCGUUCCCGGGUCUUGUACACACCGCCCGU
rnacentral:rRNA from 1 species